rnacentral:lncRNA from 1 species
CAGAAGAGUCAAACUCCACAGAACAAGAAUUGUCAGCUGUAAAACGACGAAUAGAAAGAAGAUUGUGAACCAUAGAAGGAGCAACAAGAACAUCAGGAAGACGAAAGGAACCAUGGGGGCCGGCGGCACCCACAGAGGUGACAGGAAGACAAGACCCAUUAGCGACCAUAAUGGACGAAGGGAGAGAAGGAGAAGGAGGGUGAACAGAAGAAAGAAUACCGGGGUUAGGAGUAGUGUGGUAAGUAGCCCCAGAGUCGGCGACCCACUCCGGCCCGACUGGAGGUGUCAGGGCCAUGGUGCUAAAGGAGUGCGCCAAGGCCGCCUGGUCCCAGCCGGCAGACCCGGGCAAGGUUGCCGGUGGAGUAGACCAUGAGGACGCGAACGGGGCCGCCCACGGGGUCACUGAGGGGAACCCCGGGGGAGCACCCGCGAGCAUGGCCGCCGGCGGGCGAGGCUCGCCACCGGAAGCCUGGAACGGCCACAUGGAGAUGCGCCCUGACCAUGGGUUGUUGUAGGAUGGCCAGGGUGCACCCCGUGGAGGUGGCGGCGUCGUGUUCCCCCCACGACCUGCUCCACGUCCCCCACCACAACGACGGCGGCCGCCACGGCCCCCCCCCCACCCCCGCUCGGCCCGGGGGGAAGAGGACCCAGAAGUGACUGUUGUGGUGGUGUGGCGGGACGGUGCGGAGUGGCAGCAAGAGCAGUCGAGGAGGAGGACGAGGACCCCGGAGCGGAAGUGGACCCAGGCUGUAGGCCCUGAGUAAGCUCCUCCAUGACUAGGUCAUCACGGACCUGCAGGAAGGUGGGGAAGGGUCGCUGCCGGGUGAUCCACGUUCGGAGGUAGGAGUAGCGGUCACUGAGCCCGCGGAGAACGCUGAGGACCAAGAUGCGGUCCUCCACGGGCCAGCCGAGGUCGCCGAGAGAGUCUGCCAUACCCUUCAUCUGGCGGCAGUACUCGCUGACGGAGAGGUCGCCCUGGACGAAGGUGCGGAAGCUCGCGUCGAGCCGCAGAGCCCGGGCCUCGGCGUUGCCCAGGAACUGUCCCUCGAGCGCCAACCAGGCUCCGCGAGCGCUCGGGGUGUUACGAACGAGGUCGUGGAGGUCCAGGGAGAUCGUCCCCAGAAUCCAAGAGAGGACGAUGCUGUCGAGGCGUAGCCACGAGGGGGUCGGGACCACCCCCGCGGUGUCGAGGAGGACGUGGUCGUCAAGGGUGUAGCGGCGGAGGGUGAGGAGGACCAAGUCCCUCCAGCGAGCGUAGGAGGGCGACUCGGGCUCGAGGACGACCGGAACGAGGAGGCGGAUGUUCUGGACGCCACCAGCCUGGUAGUGGAGCUGCACCACGUGGGGGUCGGCCGGAUCGUGCCAGACGACCGAAGCCGAUCCCGAGGACGUGUUCCCGACGUCAGGCGAGGCCGGAAGGCCGAGGAACUGCUCGGCUUCGGCGAUCUGGCGGGCCAAGGUGUCGGCCGCGUCGCGCUCGCGCUCCCAAGCGAGAGCGGCCUCACGCACGCGAGCCCGGCCCUCCGCAGCCGCAGCACGAGCAGUGACGAGAGCGGCAAUCAGGGUGGAGUCCGGACGGUGCAUCACGGGCGGCGGAGGCGGUGCAUGGAAGGGGGCCGCGGACGGAGCUCCUGCGCGCGUUCCUGCGGCCAGACCAGAGGCCGCCCCCCUGGGCACCGUGAGCAGAGCCCCAGGCAGAGAGGCGAGCUCCGGAGGCAUGCCCAGGCCAGCUGCGAUGGCAGCAGCGGCACCCCGGGCGUAGGCAGCCGCGGUGGCCGCGUCGGGCGCGCCCUGGUCGCCGGCCAGAACGGCCUGAAGGCCAGCUCCGGGCGCCGUCGCGUGCAGCUCUGCCCCGGGCGCUGGCGCGACGUGGGGGUCGGAAACGGCUCCGUCCGCAUCCGCCAGCCCGUCCGCGCGACUCCCGCCUGGGUUGGUGCGCGGCGCAUCCUGCGCGGCGACCGCCGGUCCCUCGCGCGCGGCCAGAGCCGCAGCCGCGCCGGCGGCCAGGGCGGAAGCUGCGCCUGCGCCAGAAGAUGUAGAGGCAGGGGCGGCGGCUCUGGGCUGCGUCUGCUGCGCGAUUUGCGCUCAGGAAGAGCUUGGGAGAGGAGGGAAGUGGUUGAAGUAGAAAGGAGGAGGAGGAGGAUCAGGCCGGCCGGCCAUGGCCGCCGGCGGCGCGCCGGCCAGAGGUGGCGGCGGCUGGGGUGGGCAGGGGAGCAGGGGAGGAAGAAACCCUAAGCUGAUACCAUGUUAGAAUGUCUGAUUUCAUUAUUGGGCUAGCCCUAACCAGGGUGGCCAUAUAGUUAGGGAUACUUGGGCCUCAUGGGCCUAAUACUCAUAUACUCUAACAAUGACCACCCAUAUACCUAUUAAAUGUCAUGAUACAACCAUUUAUGUUCUGUCAGAGCAUUUAAUUAAGGGUAGAGAGUGGAAAUGAUAUGGCUGGGAUGUUGGCUUUAUUCAUCUGACUAGACUAUCAACGAUGGCAGGGGAACGAGCCUGAUCCUAGGAGGCUCUGAACAUAAUAACACAAUUCCUGCUUAAUCCCCUAAUGCUUAGCCAGCCAUUAGUUAAAUGGUCUAAUGGCCAGCAGAUGUACUAACAAACCCCCUAACUUCGCUCACAAGAUGCUAACAACCCCCAACAAAGUGCUAAUCUGAUAGGCCUCAGCCACUAGUAGACGCUGGCCCCUUCUUCUUGGUGUAUUGCUUGCCAAUGAAGGUGUUCCCAACACGAAAAAUUUCAAUAACUACACCCUCAGUAUCCUCCAUGGACAAAUAUUGUGGAUGUUUUAUUGUGAGCCAUAGAGAAAUGGAGUGUAAUGCAAUGGCCAUUGGAACAACUCAGCUCAUGCAAACAUAUUCCACCACCACCUAGGUGGCUUCCUAGUCCAAUAUUUUAAAUGCUGUGAAAAACACUUGAUAUUUCCCGCCUGUGAAUUGUGAUAUGAUAAAUUAAUAAUUAGUUGAUGUUAAUGUAUAAUAGCCAAGGGUAUUAGUGUAAUAUCCUACUAGGGUUUUCCUCUUGUGUCACUCUAUAUAUAGUUUACAUUGGACCUCAAUAUAAUCAUCCAGUUCAGUCUCUCUUUAUUUGUAACAGCUGAAACUUGAAAGCAUAUUUUUAGGAGCCUAAAACCAUAAUGGGAAAACCUUAAAAAGAACUACUGAGGUUCCUGUCUUAACUUCCACAAGGCAGCAGUCUGAUUUCUAGUUCCAUAUUGCCAGAAAUGCAAAACAGUAAGUUGCAAAUAAGUAGUGAUCCAUAACAAUGACGAAAAUAGCAACAGUCUUAUUCAAAUAAUUAUACAAACAUUCCGUUUUAAGAAAUGUCACUACUACAUAUGCAGAAUAAAAUAUCCAUACAUACUUCUCUUUGCACGCCAACACUCUCACGGUGUAACUGGUCAGCACAACACACCAAAGAAGCGGUUGGCUGAGCCAGCCCGGGUUCGAGUCAUGGCACCAUCUUCUUAAGACGAAAAAUCAGGGGGACGUCUCCCCCCCUGGUCGAGUUUUUUUUACUUUCUCUUUGCAAAAGAAUUUAAAACUUUGUAAAAAUUACCUUCCAUGCAGCUGUGCCAUAUGCAAACCAGCCAUCUGGAAUUAAAGAGUUCAAUGACAAUGCAGAUUCCCUAUUCAAAGUUCAAAAGCAAGAGAUUUUGCAAGUUAUUGACAAAGAAUCAAUGAUAAACAACAUUUUUGCUUAAGAUAGUCUUAUACCAUAGGAUUUUGGAUGUAUGGAAGUCAUUCCUGUUGUACGCACUGCGAGCCAAAGAACGCUACAUGAAAAAGUAAGACACUGUGAGAAUGGUUCCACAGUAGAAAAGAGAAACUGCACAAAUGUCAUUGAUGGGGCCCAAACAGCAGGGGAAAGCAAUAAUGUUGCAUUGCUUCAUUCAUGACUAUCUAUCUGAACCUACAGAUUAAUUAGAUUAGACACUAAGAGGCCAUUCACUUUAAAACAAAUAUAAAACCUGUCUUGAAGCUUUAAAGUUUCAUGAAGACAUGUGGAAACAUGCUCAAAACAGAACAUGUUUGAAACUCUCUUAACCUUGGUAUGAAAACUUUGGUGCCAGGUGAAUGACCUAUCCUAUUGUCAUUCAUACCAUUUCCUAAUCCAAUUCCUAUAUACAAUGAUCCGCCACAAACAAGAUGAUCAAGGAAACUGAAAAGAAUUAACAUCAACUUUACCAUAGCUCGGGCUGAUUUACUGUUUGAUACUUCCAAUGCCUUUUUAUAAUGAUCGUCAUUAUUUGUAACAUCACCAAGCGAACACCUAAAUGAGAGUCUCAUCAGAUAGCAAAAUGCAAGGAAACAAAAAGUAAACAUGAGGUAGAACAUGAUCAUUCCAUACAAUAAACGCUAGAACUUGGUAAAUCACUCAGCAAUCCUUUAUUUGUAUUUUUUUUUGACAAUAAUCAAGAAUUUUUAAGCUCUAUCUACAGACUUUAUGAUAUUGUCUUCAGUAUAUUGCAGUUCUUAUACUAGACAGGACAGUUACUAGGGAGAUACCUGAAAAAGUAUAAACUGAAAAUGAUAUUUUGUGCAUCUAAGAUUUAAUUUUUUUUGGGUAGAGAUUGUGGAGAACAAUCUUUAGGGUUGUAUUCUGACAUCACUCUUUACAGUAGUAUUUAUCAAUUGUCUUGAAGAGGUGGGACUAUUCAAUUUGACAGAGUCGUAUACCACGUUAACGGGAGAGCAGCCAUGCAUUCAAUAUGCAUGCCAUAAGAGGAGUCACAGUCGGAGGAAACAGAGAAAAAAAAGGAGAGAGAAGCUUUGAUGACGAAUACUUCUGGAAAACGAGAUUUUGCUCAUACCACUUAAAACUUUUGGACAGGAGUAUAAGGUAAGAAAUAAUAAUUUCUUAAGAAGACGACAGAGAAUUUGUAACAUUUAUUCAAAAAAUGCAAAAUAGUCCCAAGAAACUCACCAUAACCUUGGGUCAUUUGGUGUAACAGAAAGUCGAGCAUUUAUUAGACUAACUGCAUCAGCCACUUUACCUAAUAAUCUGCCAAAUAACAAAACUUUAGCGUUUAUCACGGCAAAAAAUUCAACUGAAUGUACGACGGUUCUAUUUCAAGUUGAAAUGCAUACCGAUAGCAAUAUAUUAAAUUGUCCCACAAUUCAAGAUCUUUAAAUAUAUCCAGUGCUUCUCCAACUAUGCCACAACUGAUCAAAAGUUCGCCAUAUUCUCUUGAGUAGUAAAACAAGUCCAAGUCACAUUAGUGUUCCAGAAAGGAAGAACAAAGAAGCUUAUAUAUAUUACUGCAUACUUCCUCAAUGCAGGAAGAGUUGGCAUAUGAACCGCAAAAACCAUUUUAACUCUUUGUGGGACGGAAGGGAAUUCUUUGCCGAUAUCUUCAACCUAAUAAUAUACAUUGAAUUUGUACAUUAGGUGUGAUAUACAUUGAAAAAAACAAAGCUUCUCAAUCAGACCUAAAAUGAAGUGUUUAAAAUAAAACACUGGCAAAAGUCUGGAAAAAAAACAGGCCAGUUGCUCAGGCCUAUCCAGUCAGGUUGGACCUAAAAAAAUAUUGAUAGCAGCAGCUCACAAGUAAUGUAAAGAUCUCAUUAACUAUGUAUUCUCAAGUCUUGACCACAAUGGUUGAUUAUCAGCAUGACUUCAGAGAGGGGGAGGGAGACGGAGGGGGGGGGGGCGAGGGGGAGGGGGGUUCAGGGAGACGGAGAGGGAGAGGGCCAGAGGGGGAGAUGGAGACGGAGAGGAGGGAGGGAUGGAGGAGAGAGAGAAUAAAGGGGAAAUGGAACUGGAGGAACAAAUAUGGUUCUGCCAUGAAGCUGUUAGAUGAAGAAUGUAACUGUAAAUUUAGAGCAUCAUGGUUAGGAAUUUAGGAACUAUAAAGUUACCCAAAAAUAGAUAAAAAAAAUAACCUAAGUCAACAGAUUAGUUAAUCCUGGAACAAGUGCAGGUAGAGGUAGCAACCAACCUAUUAGUGCAAUUUUAGGGUCUUAGGGAACCAAUGAAAACCAGGAAGCAACUGAAAUAAUAUACCCACAUACAAUGUUGGUCUUAUAUGAAAACAAAGUGUUAGUCAUCCAAACAAUAAAAUAAACAAAGUAAAUGGAACAAUGGCAUAGAUAAAUAUCAAAGACCUGAUGAGUUGAAACAUGCAAAUACUCUAGUGAUCGGGAAGCUAAAAAUAUAGGAAAACUGCAACCAUAAUGAAAAAUAUACUGUCUACCUGACCUGAAUGAACACUCAUAUAUAUACAUUGUGAUUAUUUGAACUUUUGAACAAAGAUUAUACAAUCUGAUAAGUGAUUCAUCACUUACCAAAUUCUCCAUCAUUAGUAGUGCCCGCUGCUUUGUCCGACUGCGGGUCGACUCCCAUCUAACACGCAGUAUAUCGCACAAACUCCUGAUCUGAAAUAAGAAAAUAUAUAUAUACUUCUCUGAUAUUCACCUAGCUAUCCUUAUUAAUUUUCACAGAUGCAGGGAAAACUCGAGUAAACGACAGUGAAUUAUCCAAAUAUUGUUUGAGCACAGAAACGAAAUCUCCAGAACAGAAAUAAGGUUGGAGUCAAAAUUGUGGAAUGACAUCCCAUGCAUAGGUUGUGGGCCAACACAUGAGAUUAGUAAUCAGAGUAGACAUUGAAGGAUAAAAAGGCUUGCACAAUGAUAAGAAAAAAAAGAGUGGGCCUCAAGCAGUCAAGCAACCGAAUCUUGGUUUUUAUGUUUUUGUGUUAGAACAAGAAAUGGUACCACACAUGUUUCCACCAGAGCAAUAUAGCGCAAUCAGACUCAUACCACAAAGUAAGAUUCCUCCUGAGAAUCGAUUGACUCUAUGUAUGGUGCCAUCUCCCACCCUGCAUAUAAAACCAAAAAACUUACACAUGAUGAUAACAUAAACAAUCAUUUGGGAAAUAUAUACUAAAAUCCAGUUAAACACAUAGCAUGGAAAAAUACUGUACUCUUCAAAAAAUUGUAUCCUCUCUCCAAAUAGACAAGGUCUGUAGUUUGAAUAAUGGUCUUGUACAUAAAUGUUAGGCUUAUUUACCUUCCAAUGCAAAAGAUGUGUUGUCUCCUACGUACUGUUAAGGUAUAAUAGUCAGGGGUAUUAUUGUAAUCUUCUAUGUACUGUUAAUGAACACUAAUCUAUCACUUUGCAUCCUCAUAUGCAUGCAUUCAACAUUGUAAGAGACAUGAAUUAGGGUAGUCCAGUAAUCUUUUAUGGCUUCUUGGUUCAUGUGCUAAGAUUAGAUCUACUUCAUACUUUUGUCUGAUGGAGUAUGCAAUAUUGAUGAGAGAAUUAAUUCUCUCAUUAUUCUCGGAGCUUGGACUAUUUGGAACCACCGCAAUGGGUGUGUUUUCGACGGAGCAGCUCCAAAUUUGGUUCGUGCCUUGAUGGCAGCUGGGGAGGAUCGUCAUUUGUGGUCCACGGCUGGGGCUCGAGGGCUUUCGUUUCUGUCUGCCCUCCUCCCUGGUAGCUAGCUUGUUUGGCUUUGUUUGUGGUAGUGGUCGCCUUAAGUAGCUUUGUCGCGGGCGCUAAUGUAACCCUAGAAACAGGUGGGGUGUGAGUGCGUGUGUGUGUGAGUUUGUGUGUGUGUGUGUUGUGUAGCGUUGUUCGGGCUCUUGCCCUUUACCCUCUUCUUAAUAUAAUGAAGCGCAGCUCUCCUGCGUUUUCGAGAAAAAAAAAAUAUAUUGAGUAAAAAGAAAUGGUCCGCAUAAAGAUAAAAAAUGAAAUGGCAUGUCAAACUAUGACAUUGUUUGAUUUUCAAUGCCAUCUACUAAACAAACUUUUUCAUUUAGAAUCUAAAAUUCCUCCAUGCCCAAAAAAAAAUGUCUCUCACUUUUAAUUCAGAAUUUUCAAUGCCUUCGCAUGAUCAGAAUGAACUAAAUGCUAUUACUGCUAGAAUUAGGGUUUCUCAUUACUUGGGCUAACCCUAACCAGGGUGCCAUAUAAUUAGGGAUACAUGGGCUUCAUGGGCCUAGCCACAUGGGCCUGCAUUACACAUACUCCAACACCCCCCCGCAGUCUGAACUACCGGCGCAGCGGAGUUGCAGACUGGACUCGAAAAGAAUCACACACACGAGCCCCCCCACAGACACAACUAGCCACUGGUGAUGUUGAGGCUGGAGCGGAACUCGGCGAAGGUCGAGGACGGGAGGCCCUUGGUGAAGAUGUCGGCGAACUGGGAGGUGGUCGGGACAUGGAGGACCCGAACAUCGCCGACAGCAACCCGGUCCCGGACGAAGUGUAGAUCGAUCUCCACGUGCUUGGUCCUCUGGUGCUGCACAGGGUUGGUGGAGAGGUACACCGCACUGACGUUGUCGCAGUAGACCAGUGCGCUCCGGGAGAGAGGGCUGUGGAGCUCGGCGAGGAGCUGCCGGAGCCAGGAAGCCUCAGCCACGCCGUUGGUGACAGCGCGGUACUCCGCCUCGGCACUGGAGCGGGAGACGACCGGCUGGCGCUUGGACGACCAAGACACCAGGUUGCCGCCUAGGAAGACGGCGUAGCCGGAGGUGGAGCGGCGGGUGUCUGGACACCCGGCCCAGUCGGCGUCAGUGUAGACAACGAGCUCGGUGGAGGACGACCGUCGGUGGAGGAGGAGACCGAAGUUGACGGAGCCGCGGAGGUAGCGAAGGAUCCGCUUGAGAGCGGCGAGGUGUGGCUCCCGGGGAUCAUGCAUAUGAAGACAGAUCUGCUGAACUGCAUAGGUGAUAUCCGGCCGGGUGAAGGUGAGGUACUGAAGUGCCCCGGCAAGACUCUGAUAUGCAGUGGGAUCUGUCACUGGGGUACCCUCAGCCUCCGAUAGCUUGCCCUGUGUGUCAACCGGAGUGGAGCAGGGCUUGCAGUCAGUCAUCCCAGCUCUCUCUCCAGGAUGUCAAGAGUGUACUGCCGCUGGUGAAGGAGUAAUCCAGCAGGGUGAGGCUCAACAGUGACCCCGAGGAAGUGGUGGAGCCGACCCAGAUCCUUCAUAGCAAACUCCUGCUGAAGUGAUGAGAUGAUCCGUUGAAGGAGGGACUCACUGGAGGCUGUGAGGACAAUGUCAUCAACAUAGAGCAGCAGAUAUGCAGUCUCAGCCCCAUAGUGAUAGAUGAACAAAGAGGUGUCUGACUUGGCCUCCACAAACCCAGAGUCAGCAGAAAAGCAGCAAACCGAUGGUUCCACGCCCGGGGGGCCUGCUUGAGGCCGUAGAGAGACUUCUUGAGCCGACACACCAUGUCGGGAGAAGAGUCAACAAACCCCGCCGGCUGACUGCAGUAGACUGUCUCAGUAAGAAUGUCAUGCAGGAAGGCAUUCUUGACGUCCAGCUGAUGCACGGGCCACCCGCGCGUGAGAGCCAGCGAGAGCACCGUGCGGACGGUGGCCGGCUUCACCACCGGGUUGAAGGUCUCGUCGUAGUCGACACCGGGCCACUGAGUGAAGCCCCGGAGAACCCAGCGAGCCUUGUACCGCUCAAGGGUGCCGUCAGCCCGGCGCUUGUGGGUCCAGAUCCACUUGCCGGUGACGAUGUUGGAGCCCGGCGGUCGUGGCACCAGAUCCCAUGUCUGGUUGGCGAGGAGGGCCGCGUACUCCUCUUCCAUCGCGCGGCGCCAGUGAGGGUCCAGCAAGGCCUCGCGGACGGAAGUGGGUACCGGUGAGACCUGUGAGUCCCCAAGCAUCGCCGCAAGAGCCCGGGGCUGCAGGGUCCCAGCCGCGUGUCGCGUCACCAUCGGGUGAACAUGACGCGGGUGUCGGUGAAGGAGCGGUGGGUGGUACACCGGCGUCGCGGCCCGAGAAGCUGGGUGCCUCGGCGGCGGGGUCGGUGUCGCCGGCGGGGAAGACGUCGCCGGUGGCGCAGGUGACCCCGGCGAAGAGGGGGCCACCGGCGCCGCCGGAGGCAGCGGCGCCAGCCGAGCACGUCGCUGGUAGACGCACACCGGCUGGGCGAAACGUGCCGGUGGGGCCGGAGUCGGAGACGCCGACCCGGGACCCACGUCGGGAGCACGUCGCUGGUAGACACGCACCGGCUGGGCGAAGCGUGCUGGUGGGGCCGGUGUCGAAGGUGCCGACCCGGGACCCGCGUCAGGCGCAGGGGCCGGGCCGAAAGGUGACCCCUCGGGACCCGGACAGGGUAGAGGCCCCGAGGUGUCACGGGCGACAGGCGACGUAGCAGUACCUACAGGAAACACCGGGAAAGGUGGCUCGACCACCGGGUCAGUAAGAAACACAGAGGAGAGGUCAAGCUCCGAGGUGGAAGCAGGAGUGGUAGUGGUGGAAAAGGGGAAGAUCGACUCGUCGAACACCACAUGGCGAGAUAUGAGGACUCAAUGAGAGGUAAGGUCGUAGCAUCGGUACCCCUUGUGAUCCGGGGAGUACCCAAGGAAGACACAGAGAGUCGAACAAGGGUGCCAGCUUGUGAGGAGCGGUGGCGGUGGUGUUGGGGUAACACGCACACCCAAAGACUCGAAGGUGAUCAUAGCGAGGAGGGGUACCAAAGAGAGCAUGGUGCGGUGUGGGAGCUGGACAAGCAGCGGAAGGAAGGCGGUUAAGGAGGUAAGUGGAGGUGUGCAAGCUCUCGGCCCAGAAGCGAGUAGGAAGAGAGGCCUGGAGCAGGAGAGUGCGCACGGUGUCGUUGGUGGUGCGAAUCAUGUGCUCAGCCUUGCCGUUUUGAGAGGAGGUAUACGGGCAAGACAUGCGCAACUGGACACCGUGAGAGAGAAAGAAGGCGCGCGAGGUGGAGUUGUCGAACUCCCGACCAUUGUCACACUGGACAACAUUGAUAGUGAGGCCGAACUGUGUGGUGACCCAAGCGAAAAAGUGGACAAGCGCGGGGAAAGCAUCAGACUUUGCACGUAAAGGAAAAGUCCAGAAAUAAUGAGAAUAAUCAUCCACCACCACAAGAUAGUACUUGUAUCACUGAUGACAGGAGAGGUCCAUAAGUCACAAUGUACAAGGUCAAAAAUGCGGGCCGCAUGAGAAGAAGAACUAGAAAAAGGAAGACGAACAUGACGGCCCAAUUGGCACGCAUGACACAAAUGCUGAUCGUGAGCCCGAGUACAUCGAAUAUCGGAACUACGACUAAGCUGCAUCAAAGCAUCACGUCCAGGAUGGCCGAGACGCCGGUGCCAAGUAGUGGAGGUAGUGGUGGCGAAGGCAGCUGACAAAACUGGCGAAAGAGGCGAGGCAGAUGCCGGAAAGCGAAGAAUGUAAAGGGACCCCGUGCUGUCACAUCGGAGCAGAGGACGCCGGGAAGCCAAAUCCUUCACAGUAAGACCAGAAGAGUCAAACUCCACAGAACAAGAAUUGUCAGCUGUAAAACGACGAAUAGAACCAUAGAAGGGAGUAACAAGAACAUCAGGAAGACGAAAGGAACCACUGGGGACCGGCGGCACCCACAGAGGUGACAGGAAGACAAGACCCAUUAGCGACCAUAAUGGACGAAAGGAGAGAUGGAGGAGGGCGAACAGAAGAAAGUAUACCGGGGUUAGGAGUGGUGUGGUAAGUAGCCCCAGAGUCGGCGAAGCACUCCGGCCCGACUGGAGGUGUCAGGGCCAUGGUGCUGAAGGAGUGCGCCA